UGCACCAUUAGCUCAGUCGGUAGAGCAACUGACUCUUAAUCAGUGGGUCCUGGGUUCGAGUCCCUGAUGGUGUAGC
rnacentral:tRNA from 1 species